rnacentral:rRNA from 1 species
CCUACGGGAGGCAGCAGUGGGGAAUAUUGGACAAUGGGCGAAAGCCUGAUCCAGCCAUGCCGCGUGUGUGAAGAAGGCCUUCGGGUUGUAAAGCACUUUUGGCGGGAACGAAAAGGACUGUGCCAAUACCACGGUUCGAUGACGGUACCCGCAGAAUAAGCACCGGCUAACUACGUGCCAGCAGCCGCGGUAAUACGUAGGGCGCGAGCGUUGUCCGGAAUUAUUGGGCGUAAAGAGCUCGUAGGCGGCUGGUCGCGUCUGUCGUGAAAUCCUCUGGCUUAACUGGGGGCUUGCGGUGGGUACGGGCCGGCUUGAGUGCGGUAGGGGAGACUGGAACUCCUGGUGUAGCGGUGGAAUGCGCAGAUAUCAGGAAGAACACCGGUGGCGAAGGCGGGUCUCUGGGCCGUUACUGACGCUGAGGAGCGAAAGCGUGGGGAGCGAACAGGCUUAGAUACCCUGGUAGUCCACGCUGUAAACGGUGGGUACUAGGUGUGGGGUCCAUUCCACGGGUUCCGUGCCGUAGCUAACGCUUUAAGUACCCCGCCUGGGGAGUACGGCCGCAAGGCUAAAACUC